UACGUAGGGUGCGAGCGUUAAUCGGAAUUACUGGGCGUAAAGCGUGCGCAGGCGGUCUGUUAAGACAGAUGUGAAAUCCCCGGGCUUAACCUGGGAACUGCAUUUGUGACUGGCAGGCUAGAGUAUGGCAGAGGGGGGUAGAAUUCCACGUGUAGCAGUGAAAUGCGUAGAGAUGUGGAGGAAUACCGAUGGCGAAGGCAGCCCCCUGGGCCAAUACUGACGCUCAUGCACGAAAGCGUGGGGAGCAAACGAGGAUUAGAGU
rnacentral:rRNA from 1 species